rnacentral:rRNA from 1 species
UACGAAGGGUGCUAGCGUUGUUCGGAAUCACUGGGCGUAAAGCGCGCGUAGGCGGCUUGUCAAGUCAGGGGUGAAAUCCCACAGCUUAACUGUGGAACUGCCUUUGAAACUGUCAAGCUGGAGUGUCGGAGGGGAUGGCGGAAUUGCUAAUGUAGAGGUGAAAUUCGUAGAUAUUCGCAAGAACACCAGUGGCGAAGGCGGCUCACUGGCCCGAUACUGACGCUGAGGCACGAAAGCGUGGGGAGCAAACAGG